rnacentral:rRNA from 1 species
CGUGAGUGAAGAAGGUCUUUGGGUCGUAAAGCUCUGUCAACAGGGAAGAAGUUAACAUAUAUAAAUAGUGUAUGUUAUUGACGGUACCUGUGAAGGAAGCACCGGCUAACUCCGUGCCAGCAGCCGCGGUAACACGGGGGGUGCAAGCGUUAUUCGGAAUUAUUGGGCGUAAAGGGCGCGUAGGCGGUUAUAUCAGUCAGAUGUGAAAGCCCGGGGCUCAACCCCGGAAGUGCAUUUGAAACAGUAUAACUUGAGUACGGGAGAGGAAAGCGGAAUUCCUGGUGUAGAGGUGAAAUUCGUAGAUAUCAGGAGGAACACCGAUGGCGAAGGCAGCUUUCUGGACCGAUACUGACGCUGAGGCGCGAAGGCGUGGGUAGCGAACAGGAUUAGAUACCCUGGUAGUCCACGCAGUAAACGAUGUUCACUAGGUGCUGGGGAUAUUAAAAUUUUCAGUGCCGGAGCUAACGCAUUAA